GAUGAACGCUGGCGGCGUGCCUAAUACAUGCAAGUCGAGCGAACGGACGAGAAGCUUGCUUCUCUGAUGUUAGCGGCGGACGGGUGAGUAACACGUGGAUAACCUACCUAUAAGACUGGGAUAACUUCGGGAAACCGGAGCUAAUACCGGAUAAUAUUUUGAACCGCAUGGUUCAAAAGUGAAAGACGGUCUUGCUGUCACUUAUAGAUGGAUCCGCGCUGCAUUAGCUAGUUGGUAAGGUAACGGCUUACCAAGGCAACGAUGCAUAGCCGACCUGAGAGGGUGAUCGGCCACACUGGAACUGAGACACGGUCCAGACUCCUACGGGAGGCAGCAGUAGGGAAUCUUCCGCAAUGGGCGAAAGCCUGACGGAGCAACGCCGCGUGAGUGAUGAAGGUCUUCGGAUCGUAAAGCUCUGUUAUUAGGGAAGAACAUAUGUGUAAGUAACUGUGCACAUCUUGACGGUACCUAAUUAGAAAGCCACGGCUAACUACGUG
rnacentral:rRNA from 1 species